UACGGGGGGAGCAAGCGUUGUUCGGAUUUACUGGGCGUAAAGCGUGCGUAGGCGGCGUGUUAAGUGUGAUGUUAAAUCGUGUGGCUCAACCAUAUCGAUGCAUCACAUACUGGCAUGCUAGAGGAAGGCAGAGGCAAGUGGAAUUGGUAGUGUAGCAGUGAAAUGCGUAGAUAUUACCAGGAACACCAAUGGCGAAGGCAGCUUGCUGGGCCUUUACUGACGCUGAGGUACGAAAGCGUGGGGAGCGAACAGG
rnacentral:rRNA from 1 species